AGAGUUUGAUCCUGGCUCAGGACGAACGCUGGCGGCGUGCUUAACACAUGCAAGUCGAGCGAUGAAGCUUCCUUCGGGAGGUGGAUUAGCGGCGGACGGGUGAGUAACACGUGGGUAACCUGCCUCAAAGUGGGGGAUAGCCUUCCGAAAGGAAGAUUAAUACCGCAUAAUAUGAGAGAAUCGCAUGAUUUUCUUAUCAAAGAUUUAUUGCUUUGAGAUGGACCCGCGGCGCAUUAGCUAGUUGGUAAGGUAACGGCUUACCAAGGCAACGAUGCGUAGCCGACCUGAGAGGGUGAUCGGCCACAUUGGAACUGAGACACGGUCCAGACUCCUACGGGAGGCAGCAGUGGGGAAUAUUGCGCAAUGGGGGAAACCCUGACGCAGCAACGCCGCGUGGGUGAUGAAGGUCUUCGGAUUGUAAAGCCCUGUUUUCUAGGACGAUAAUGACGGUACUAGAGGAGGAAGCCACGGCUAACUACGUGCCAGCAGCCGCGGUAAUACGUAGGUGGCGAGCGUUGUCCGGAUUUACUGGGCGUAAAGGGUGCGUAGGCGGAUGUUUAAGUGGGAUGUGAAAUCCCCGGGCUUAACCUGGGGGCUGCAUUCCAAACUGGAUAUCUAGAGUGCAGGAGAGGAAAGCGGAAUUCCUAGUGUAGCGGUGAAAUGCGUAGAGAUUAGGAAGAACACCAGUGGCGAAGGCGGCUUUCUGGACUGUAACUGACGCUGAGGCACGAAAGCGUGGGUAGCAAACAGGAUUAGAUACCCUGGUAGUCCACGCCGUAAACGAUGGAUACUAGGUGUAGGGGGUAUCAACUCCCCCUGUGCCGCAGUUAACACAAUAAGUAUCCCGCCUGGGGAGUACGGUCGCAAGAUUAAAACUCAAAGGAAUUGACGGGGGCCCGCACAAGCAGCGGAGCAUGUGGUUUAAUUCGAAGCAACGCGAAGAACCUUACCUGGACUUGACAUCCCUUGCAUAGCCUAGAGAUAGGUGAAGCCCUUCGGGGCAAGGAGACAGGUGGUGCAUGGUUGUCGUCAGCUCGUGUCGUGAGAUGUUAGGUUAAGUCCUGCAACGAGCGCAACCCUUGUUAUUAGUUGCUACCAUUAAGUUGAGCACUCUAAUGAGACUGCCUGGGUAACCAGGAGGAAGGUGGGGAUGACGUCAAAUCAUCAUGCCCCUUAUGUCCAGGGCUACACACGUGCUACAAUGGUAGGUACAAUAAGACGCAAGACCGUGAGGUGGAGCAAAACUUAUAAAACCUAUCUCAGUUCGGAUUGUAGGCUGCAACUCGCCUACAUGAAGCUGGAGUUGCUAGUAAUCGCGAAUCAGAAUGUCGCGGUGAAUACGUUCCCGGGCCUUGUACACACCGCCCGUCACACCAUGAGAGCUGGUAACACCCGAAGUCCGUGAGGUAACCGUAAGGAACCAGCGGCCGAAGGUGGGAUUAGUGAUUGGGGUGAAGUCGUAACAAGGUAGCCGUAGGAGAACCUGCGGCUGGAUCACCUCC
rnacentral:rRNA from 1 species